ensembl:lncRNA
GGGGUGUUCGCCUAACCGCCCCAGUCCCACGAAGCCAGAGGGAGAAGGCGGGGUUAUGGCCUCCAUCACCGCAUCAGGGCCUCCCAUCACAGCCCCAGACAGGCCCCUGAGAAGCUGCCACAGAAAAGGUAAAAAUGCCCAGGUCCUGGGCCAGCACAGCUAAAACCCUCCAACGGUUGAAGGUGAGCGUAAAAAGCGAAAAAGAAUAGAACAAGCUAGAAAGAGGAAGGUGCAGGAAGGAGAAGCGAGUUUCAGAGGAACUGAGCAGAGCGCUCAGAGAUACUCUUGACCAAACGCCAGGAGGCGGCAUCUCCCGGCGAGAAGCAGCGCCACUUAGCGGUCAGACUCCGCGCGGCCGCCGGGGCGGCUCAUCGUCCCGCCGUUUCUAGCCCGCGCUGCGUUUUUAAACCCCCGGCUACCGCGCUGUUCCCAGCCGCUGCUCUCCCUGCUGCACCUGCCCUGCCCGCCUUCCUCCUCUUCACACACCUCCGUCCUCUGACCCCCUGGGUGGAAGGCUGCCCCCUACCUCCCGCGUUGCUCCUGUCAGAGGCCUGCAAGGGCUCCUGGAGGGCCGAGGCUCAGGUGACCACUUCCCAGCAGUCGUGCAGCGCCCUCCGAGGCCCCUGAGUGCUGUCCUCUCCUCCUGCUCCCAGUUCUGCCCUCUUCUCAUUUCUGGUCUCGGAGUCAAGGAGUUUCCAGGCCGACUGUGCUCAGGGGGCCUCAGUCCUUGGAGUUAAGGGUCUUUUUCUAGCGACCAGGAGCUCUGGGAAGGACACAAGGGCCCUGAACCACACUUCCUAAAAACUGAAUGCCCCUCUUCUGGGCCGCAGACCCUGGUCCUCCUUUCAUGAUAAGACUCACCUCCUAGUGCCAAGGCCAUGCUGCUCGUGCCGCACGUGCGGUCUAUUUGGGUUUGUUUUUUAAACCUUGGAGAAAUCUAUCCCUGACUUGUUGAAUGUUCUUUGCGCUGACAAGAUAUACAACUGUGGUGAAAGGGAAUUCCCUGCUGGUGGAGGGGUUAGGACUCAGCACUUUCACUGCUAUUGGCCCCGGGUUCAGUCUCUGGUCUGGGAACUAAGAUUUUGGUGUGCCUAAAAAACACCAAAAAAUAAACAAAAACAACAAAAUACACCAACAGCAACAAAAAAUACCCAGCUGUGCUGAAAACUCUGAAUCCCUGGACCAGCUUCUCAGAGUUAUCUGAGUAGCUGGUUUACAGGAUCCCACAGUCUUUGUUACAACAUCACGGUGCUGUCCCAGGAUGGAUCUGUGCAGGCCAGCUUUUUUGCUGGUGGACACUUGGGUGGUCAGGCCUUCCUGCACUAUGAUCACAUGAAGGGGAGGGCAGAGCCCUGGGGAGUCUGAGCUGAAGAUCUGGAAGCUAAGAUGUGGGACAAAGAAUCCAAGUGAAACUGGGCAACUCAGAUUGGG